UGCAUGGUGGUGCAGUUGGUAGCACUGUUGCCUACCAGCUGUAGGCAACAGUGGGGCCGGGGGUCUUGCCUACCAAGAUCCCUGGCCCGGGUUUGACUCCCGGCCGGGGGUCUUUCUGCAU